GCUCAGGAUGAACGCUAGCGGCAGGCCUAAUACAUGCAAGUCGAACGGUCUUCAGCAAUGGAGAUAGUGGCGCACGGGUGCGUAACGCGUAGCCAACCUACCCGAAUCUGGGGGAUAGCCCGCCGAAAGGCGGAUUAAUACCGCAUAAGACUAUAAGCCGGCAUCGGUUAGUAGUUAAAGAUUUAUUGGAUUCGGAUGGGGCUGCGUGCCAUUAGCUAGUUGGGGGGGUAACGGCCCACCAAGGCGACGAUGGCUAGGGGAGCUGAGAGGCUGGUCCCCCACACGGGCACUGAGAUACGGGCCCGACUCCUACGGGAGGCAGCAGUAGGGAAUAUUGGGCAAUGGAGGAGACUCUGACCCAGCCAUGCCGCGUGCCGGAUGAAGGCCUUCUGGGUCGUAAACGGCUUUUUUCCGGGAAGAACCGGUCCUGUGCGCAGGGCCCUGACGG
rnacentral:rRNA from 1 species